UCAAUCAACUCAGUGAAUUUCAUCGCAUGCAUACCGAAACCCAUUUUUCAAUCAACUCUAUGAACUCAUCGCUUUCACCGAUCAGCAUGCAUUUCGCGUUGCUUCUGUGAACUUCAUCGCUUCUGUGAUUUUGGGUUUCUGUGAAGUUUGAUUUCAGGCUUCACAAAAUCCUUUCUCUUUGCUCAUUCGCUCAACUUCCUCUGACGACUGAAAACAUUUUGGGCUUCGCUCAUUCGCUCGUUGAAAAACGAAGCUCUCUUCUUCUCCAACACCGCACCGCUCAUUUGCUCACCGAAACUGAGAGGAAACCAUUUCGCAGUGACGACAACAAAGCUGAGAGGAAACCAUUUCACAGUGACGAUAUUGGCUGGAAGGGAGAAGGUGUGAGAUAGAGAAGAACCUGCAGAGAACUCGGGCCAGACAAAAUGCAAGCGCAAUUUGUGCUUGGAAAGAAUAGUUGCUAACAAAUUAUAUUGAUUAAAGCUCCUUCUUCUUUCAACCUACCCUUGCAUCUUUAGCAUCACAUUUUGAGGUUUUGGACAGGGGAAAAAUAAAGAGCUUUUGGUUGACAAGACCGAGAACCUUCAUCACCAGGUUAGUAAUUGUGUGAUCGGAAUGUCUUAAACUUAAGCAUCAGUACUUGGGUUUUUCAUGCCAACAACUAUUUUCAUUCUAAUUCCUUAAGCAUUUUUUAUGAUGAUUGAUGGCAUGCUGAGUGUAAUGAUAAGAUCUACCUAUUCCUCCAUCCAACAUAAAAGAAACACUACCUAUUUUUUCAAAUCGAUUUGUUUUCAUUGUAACUUGAAAUUCUGGGUUCUAUCAGCAACAUAAUAAACUCUUAUUUUCAUUGUAACUUGAAUUAUGGCUUUAGAAACUUUGAAUUCCACUAUUUUCCAUUGUAGUGCCUAUGUUUGAGAUAUGUAUAAUCAUCGAUCACUUCGGUGGCAUUAGGAGAUAGAGCUUACUUGACAUCUUCUAGCUGAUAAUGAAGGUUGUUUGUGGCUACUAUUAGAGAUGAGGUUAAUGAGGGACUCGGUUUUGUUUUACUGUAAUGGGGGAAGGAUUAUCAUUACCUAAUCAAGUGUUAUUAAGAUAAUUUGUAAGCAUUUUUUAAGAUAUAAGGUUAACUAACUAGAACGAAAUGCUAAUGAGCUUAUAUAACUAACUGGAAUGAAAUGCUAAAGAGCUUAUAUAACUAACUGGAAUGAAAUGCUAGGCUCAAUUGCCUGGUUCUAGCUGUAUUGGUUAUGUAACUUGCAUUACACUACUAUUUUCCAUUGAAUACAUAUAAGAGUUUAGGUGUAGGUAAGAAAGUGGGCCAGUAGGAUAGGUAAGAGUUUAAGGGGGUUACGCGAAAUGUAUUCUAUAUGAGCGCUCUCUCUCUCUCUCUCUCUCUCUCUCUCUCUCUCUCUCUCUCUCUCUCUCUCUCUCUCUCUCUCUCUCUCUCUCUCUCUCUCUCUCUCUUACUAUUCUUUCUCUUCUAUUCAUAGCUAUGGAUCGUAGUUGGAUGCAAAAAAAACCGCUCAAGUGAAGAGUAUAAAAAAGGAGUGUUAGAGUUUUUGACAUUUGCCGAAACUAAUCUUCCCAAAAGUAAUGGACGAUUUCAUUGUCCUUGUGCUAAGUGUGUGAAUAUUGCACCUUUAAAUGCUAACAUCGUAUGGGAUCAUCUAAUAGUCAAUGGGAUUUGUCAAAAUUAUACGAAGUGGAUAUGGCACGGUGAAUUGUCUGAUGCGCCAAUGGCCUCCCUGAGAGAAGAGUUUGAUAUAGAGGCGAGUGAUUAUCUAGAAGAAAUGACUUGUGAUAUUGGACAAGACUCUUUUCAACGAGCACACGUACACGAUACUCUUUGCAAUGACAACAAAGUUCCUUUGUAUCCAAAUUGUAAAAACUUCACACGAUUGUCGGCCGUACUGAGAUUAUUCAAUUUGAAGGCAAUUAUUAGUUGGACCGAUAAAAGCUUCACACAAUUGCUUGAGUUGUGGAAGGAAAUGCUUUCAGAUGAAAACACGUUGCCGAACCGGGUGUAUGAUGCAAAAAAGAUAUUAUGUCCGAUGGGUAUGGAGUAUAAGAAAAUACAUGCAUGCCCCAAUGAUUGAAUAUCGUACUGGAAAGAUAAUGAAGAGAAAGAAAAGUGUCCCAAGUGUAUGACAUCACGAUAUAAGAAGAAAUGUGAUGAUGAAGGUUGUGAUGUAACCACAAAGGGUCCUCCAGCAAAGGUGUUAUGGUACCUUCCAAUUAUUCCGAGGUUUAAGCGAUUGUUUGCGAAUUUAAAUGUGAAGGAUAGAAAAACACUUAGAAAGGGGGGGGGGGGGUUUGAAUAAGUGUAGUCUAAAAACUUGAACGAUAAAAAUAAAAUGCACAGUUAUUUUUAUCCUGGUUCGUUGUUAACUAAACUAGUCCAGUCCACCCCCACGGAGUGAUUUACCUCACCUGAGGAUUUAAUCCACUAAUCGCAACAGAUUACAAUGGUUUUCCACUUAGUCCGCGACUAAGUCUUCUAGAGUAUCCUGAUCACAACCUGAUCACUCUAGGAACAAAUGCUUAGACACAAGCUAAGACUUUCUUAGAGUAUCCUGACCACCACGUGAUCACUCUAAUUACAACUGCUUAGACACAAGCUAAGACUUCCUAGAGUAUCCUGAUCAACACUUGAUCACUCUAGUUACUUACAAAUUAAUGUAAUCAAUUCUAAGAGUAUUACGAUUGCUUUUGAAAAGCUAUAAUCACAACAGUGAUAUUUCUCUUAACGUUUAAGCUUAAUCUCACUAAUAUAUUACAACAGCAAUGUAGUGAGCUUUGAUGAAGAUGAAGUUUCUGAGCUUUGAAUUUGAACAGCGUUUCAGCAAGUUAAUUGUUAGCAAAUCGUCAACCUUGCUUCACAUCAGAACUUCAUAUUUAUAGGCGUUUGAGAAGAUGACCGUUGGGCGCAUUUAAUGCUUUGCGUAUUCCGUACAACAUUGCAUUUAAUGUUUCACGCUUUUGUCAACUACCUCGAGCCUUGUUCACGCUGUGUCUACUGACGUUGCCUUUAAUAGCUUCCAACGUUCCUUUUGUCAGUCAGCGUAGCCUGCCACCUGUACUUUCUUCUGAUCUGAUGUUUUUGAAUAUAAUAUUUGAAUAUCAUCAGAGUCAAACAGCUUGGUGCAUAGCAUCUUCUUGUCUUCUGACCUUGAGGUGCUUCUGAGCGUGAUACCAUGAGAACUUCGGUGCUUCUGCUUCUGAUCUCAAGUUCUUCUGAUGCUUCCAUAGACCCAUGUUCUGAUUCUGCCUUGACCAUCUUCUGAUGUCUUGCCAGACCAUGUUCUGAUGUUGCAUGCUGAACCUUCUGAGACAAAGCUUCUGAGCGCUGAUUUGUGCAUACUCUUUAUAUAUUUCCUGAAAGAGAAAUUGCAAUGUAUUAGAGUACCACAUUAUCUCACACAAAAUUCAUAUCCUUGUUAUCAUCAAAACUAAGAAUAUUGAUCAGAACAAAUUUUGUUCUAACAAAAUGAUGCGAAGAAUAUUAGAUGGCAUGCAGAAGAGAGGAAUUGUGAUGGAAAAAUUUGGCAUCCGGCCGAUUCUUUGCAAUGGAAGAAGGUUGAUACCUAAUUUCCUGACUUCGGUAAUGAACCAAGAAACCUUAGGCUUGGACUUUCUACAGAUGGAAUGAAUCCAUAUGGCAGUUUAAGUAGUAAUCAUAGUUCAUGGCCUGUUCUAUUGAUUAUUUACAACUUAUCUCCUUGGUUGUGCAUGAAGAGGAAACACAUUAUGUUAUCUAUGAUGAUUUCGGGACCAAAACAACCUGGAAAUGACAUAGAUGUCUAUCUAAGUCCCUUAAUUGAUGACUUAAGAAAGUUGUGGGAUGAAGGAAUUGAUGUGUUCGAUAUUUUUUCAAAUGAAACUUUCAAAUUGCGUGCCAUGUUAUUUUGCACCAUCGACGACUUUCCAGUUUAUGGUAACUUGUCUGGUUACAAAGUUAAGAGGCAUAAAGCAUGCCCUAUAUGUGAAAAAGAUACUUUCUACCAUCAGUUGGAGAAUGGAAAGAAGACUGUUUAUCUUGGACAUCAAAGAUUUCUUAAACGUAACCACCCAUAUCGAAGAUUAAAAAAGGCUUUUAAUGGAUAUCGAGAGUAUAAAGUGGCCCCGCAUGCCUUAACUGGAGAAGAAGUCUAUCAUCGGGUGAGGAACAUAAGUGUUACUUUUGGAAAAAUACAAAAAAAAGUUACAAAUAGUAAUAUAUGGAAGAAGAGGUCCGUAUUCUUUGACCUUCCAUAUUGGUAUAGUCUUGAUGUAAGACAUUGUAUUGAUGUAAUGCACGUGGAGAAAAAUGUGUGUGAUAGUGUAAUUGGAACACUUCUCAACAUUCAAGGUAAGACAAAUGAUGGUUUAAACUCUCGUUUAGAUAUGGUUAAUAUGAAAAUAAGAGAAGAGUUAGCUCCACAACUGAUCGGUCACCAAUUCUACAUACUUUCUGUUAAUUAUUUGAUGAAAAUCUCUCAUUUCGGUAACACUUUAGUUUAGUUUUUUAUCGUUUUAACUUAGUUAUUUCGUAUUUUGCAAAUUUGUACUUGUUUGAUGUUUACUUAUAAUUAGAUGCUUUUGAUACCUUGGUUUGGUAGUUGUUUGUGAUUUCAGAUGCAAUUGAGGCGCACCAAAAGAAGUAGACGGAAAAAUUCCAUAAAGUCGUGGUUUUCCAAGUCAUCCCGUGUCAAGAAGAGAUGAAAAAUGAAGAAAAAGAAUAAAAAAUAAAUGAUACGGGCGCCAGUGUCAAUAGACACGACCGUGUCAAUGUUGCUGAUGGAAAAAGGGAAGCAAAAGAGUGGACAGUAGCUGACACGGGCACCCGUUGUUAGAACAAGAAUUGUUCUGAUUAAUAUUCUUAGUUUUGAUGAUAACAUUAUAUAUGAAUUUUGUAUAAGACAAUGUGGUACUCUAAUCCUAUGCAUUUUCCAUUUCAGGAAAUAUAUAAAGAGUAUGCACAAUUCAGCGCAAGAAGCACUGACUCAGAAGGUUCAAGUAUGCAACAUCAGAACAUACUCUCGCAAGACAUCAGGAGAUGGUCAAGCAGAAUCAAAACAUGGUCUAUGAAGCAUCAGAAGAACUUGAGUUCAGAAGUAGAAGCACUGAAGUUCUUAUGAUAUCAUGCUAGAAGCACUUCAAAGUCAGAAGACAAGAAGAUGCUCUGUACCAAGCUGAAUGACUCUGAUAUUCAAACGUUGUAUCUACAAACAUCAGAUCAGAAGCAAGUACAAGAUGGAAGGCAACGUUGACUGACAAAAGGAACGUUAGAAGCUAUUAAAGGCAAAGUCAGUUAAAGCAGGAAAAGCAAGGCUCAAGGUAUUUGACAAAAGAUUGAAACAUUAAAUGCAAAGUUGUACGGAUCACGCAACGCAUUAAAUGCUCCCAACGGUCAUCUUCUCAUAACGCCUAUAAAUAGUGAAGUUCUGAUCAGAAGCAAGGUUACAACACUUACGGGAACAACUCUGCACAAACAACCUUAAACGCUGCUGAAUCAAAGUCUUACAAACUUCAUCUUCAACCUCACUACUCUUGUAAUAUCUUAGUGAGAUUUAAGCUUAGAACUUAAGAGAAAUAUCACAGUUGUGAUUAUAGCUUUUUAAGAAGCACUUGUAUACUCUUGUAAACACUUAUUUUACAUUGAUUUGUAAAAGGUUCCCAGAGUGAUCAAGUUGUGAUCAGUAGACUCAAGAAGACUUAGAAGUUUCUAAGUGGUGAAUUUCCUAGAGUGAUCAAGGUGUGAUCAGAAUACUCUAGAAGACUUAGAGGGUAUCUAAGUGGAAAACCAUUGUAAUCAAGGUUGAUUAGUGGAUUAAAUCCUCAGGAGAGGUAAAUCAUUCUAAGGGGGUGGACUGGAGUAGUUUCGUUAACAACGAACCAGGAUAAAAAUCAUUGUGCAAUUGUUUUUAUCUUAAGAGUUUUUAAAGUCACACUUAUUCAAACCCCCCUUUUCUAAGUGUUUAUAUCCUUCAAUUGGUAUCAGAGCACCGGUUCUACGUGCGAGCACUUAACCGUGUUAGAAAAAGAUUCAGGGUGAGAAAAACACUAAGUCAAUAUGGUUGAUGCUAUUACUCCUACUACUACAUCUACUUCAAAUGAUCAACACAACAAUGGAAAUGGAAAUGGAUAUACUAGACCACCAGUAUUUGAUGGUGAAAACUUUGAAUACUGGAAAGAUAGAUUGGAAAGUUACUUUCUUGGUCUAGAUGGUGAUUUAUGGGACUUGCUUGUGGAUGGUUACAAACAUCCAGUAAAUGCUAGUGGAGCAAAGAUGUCAAUACAAGAAAUGAGUGAUGAUCAAAAGAAACAAUUUAAAAAUCAUCAUAAGUCAAGGAUUAUUCUGCUAAAUGCUAUUUCUCAUUUUGAAUAUGAGAAGAUAUUAAAUAGGGAAACUGCCCAUGACAUCUUUGAAUCAUUAAAGAUGACUCACGAAGGAAAUGCCCAAGUCAAGGAGACUAAAGCUCUUGCAUUAAUCCAGAAGUAUGAAGCCUUCAAGAUGGAGGAUGAUGAAAACAUUGAAACAAUGUUCUCAAGAUUUCAAACUCUAACUGCUAGAUUAAGAGUGCUUGACAAGGGAUAUACAAAGGCUGAUCAUGUCAAGAAGAUCAUCAUAAGCUUUCCCAGAAGAUGGGGACCAAUGGUGACUGCAUUCAAGAUAGCAAAGAAUCUGAAUGAAGUCUCUUUGAAAGAGCUGAUCAGCGCCUUGAGGAGUCAUGAAAUAGAGCUGGAUGCUAAUGAACCUCAGAAGAAAGGUAAGUAUAUUGCAUUAAAAUCUUUAAAUAAAAAAUGCACUAACGCUUUUCAAGCUGAAGAAGAAGAUUCUGAAGAAUCAGAAUCAGAAGAAGAAGAAGAUGAAUUGUCCAUGAUCUCUAGAAGGGUAAACCAACUCUAGAAAAGUAAGCAAAGGAAGUUUAAGAACUUCAGAAGUUCCAAAAAGCCUGAAAGAGGAGAAUCUUCUGGAAGCAGAAGAAAUGACAAGAAGA